UACGUACCGUACGAACGUUAUUCGGAAUUACUGGGCUUAAAGAGUCCGUAGGCGGCUUUAAAGGUGAGGUGUGAAAUCCCACGGCUUAACCGUGGAAUUGCGCUUCAAACCAUAAGGCUUGAGGGAGAUAGAGGAAAGCGGAACUGAUGGUGGAGCGGUGAAAUGCGUUGAUAUCAUCAGGAACACCGGUGGCGAAAGCGGCUUUCUGGGUCUCUUCUGACGCUGAGGGACGAAAGCUAGGGGAGCGAACGGG
rnacentral:rRNA from 1 species